rnacentral:rRNA from 1 species
UACAGAGGGGGCAAGCGUUGUUCGGAAUUACUGGGCGUAAAGGGCGCGUAGGCGGCCUGCUAAGUCGAACGUGAAAUCCCCGGGCUCAACCCGGGAACUGCGUCCGAUACUGGCAGGCUUGAAUUCGAGAGAGGGAUGUGGAAUUCCAGGUGUAGCGGUGAAAUGCGUAGAUAUCGGGAGGAACACCGGUGGCGAAGGCGGCGAUCUGGGUCGAUACUGACGCUGAGGUGCGAAAGCGUGGGGAGCAAACAGG